rnacentral:rRNA from 1 species
AGAGUUUGAUCCUGGCUCAGCCUGAACGCUGGCAGCGUGGUUAAGACAUGCAAGUCGCACGAAGGCAGCAAUGCUUUAGUGGCGCACGGGUGAGUAAUGUAUCGCUAACGUACCUUGGACACUGGGAUAGCCGCCCGAAAGGACGGGUAAUACCAGAUGACAUCACGAGGCCUCCUGGUCUUGUGCUCAAAGGUCCGCCGGUCUGGGAGCGGGCGAUAUCGUAUCAGCUAGUUGGUGAGGUAACGGCCCACCAAGGCGACGACGCGUAGCCGGUCUGAGAGGACGGUCGGCCACAUCGGGACUGAGACACUGCCCGGACUCCUACGGGGGGCUGCAGUAACGAAUCUUCCCCAAUGCACGAAAGUGUGAGGGAGCGACGCUGCGUGGAGGAUGAAGUCCUUCGGGAUGUAAACUCCUGUCAGGGGUUACCAAGUUCUGAGGAGCCCCAGAGGAAGAGGCGGCUAACUCUGUGCCAGCAGCCGCGGUAAGACAGAGGCCUCGAGCGUUAGGCGGAAUCACUGGGCUUAAAGCGUGUGUAGGCGGAUCGUUAAGUGCCUUGUGAAAUCCCACGGCUCAACCGUGGAACUGCUGGGCAUACUGGCGAUCUUGAGCUAUCUAGGGGCGACUGGAACAGACGGUGGAGCGGUGAAAUGCGUAGAUAUCGUCUGGAACGCCAAAGGUGAAAACAGGUCGCUGGGGAUAUGCUGACGCUGAGACACGAAAGCCAGGGGAGCAAACGGGAUUAGAUACCCCGGUAGUCCUGGCCCUAAACGAUGUCCACUAGAUCGCAGCGUCACUGACGGCGUUGUGGUCGAAGCAAAGUGAUAAGUGGACCGCCUGGGAAGUACGGUCGCAAGGCUAAAACUCAAAGGAAUUGACGGGGGCUCACACAAGCGGUGGAGCAUGUGGUUCAAUUCGAAGCAACGCGCA